GAUGAACGCUAGCGAUAGGCUUAACACAUGCAAGUCGAGGGGCAGCACAAGGUAGCUUGCUAUCUGGGUGGCGACCGGCGCACGGGUGCGUAACGCGUAUGCAACUUGCCCUAUACAGGAGGAUAACCCGUCGAAAGACGGACUAAUACUGCGUAUGCUCACAACUUGGCAUCAAGUGGUGAGGAAAGAAAUUCGGUAUAGGAUAGGCAUGCGUCCCAUUAGCUUGUUGGUGAGGUAACGGCUCACCAAGGCAACGAUGGGUAGGGGAACUGAGAGGUUUAUCCCCCACACUGGUACUGAGACACGGACCAGACUCCUACGGGAGGCAGCAGUGAGGAAGAUUGGUCGAUGGGCGCGAGCCUGAACCAGCCAAGUCGCGUGAAGGAUGACUGUCUUAUGGAUUGUAAACUUCUUUUAUACGGGAAUAACAAGAGUCACGUGUGACUCCCUGCAUGUACCGUAUGAAUAAGCAUCGGCUAACUCCGUG
rnacentral:rRNA from 1 species